rnacentral:tRNA from 1 species
CUCUAAAGAAGCUUUACUAUUAGCGCUAGCCUUUUAAGCUAGAGAAGGGAACUUCUCCCCUUAGAGA